GUCUAAGCUUUAAUUAACCAAAAUUUCAGUUAAAUUAAUUUCAAUUCAUCUAUUCGCUAACUUCAUAAAUAUCCCUUUCUCCGUUUGGAAGCCAGGAAAAUAUUUUCCGAAAAAUAUUUUCCUGAUUUUACAGUGUUUGGAAGCAUGAAAAUUUUCCAAGAGACGGGUAAAAUCUCAGUCAUUUUAGGGAAAAUGUCUUAUCGAUUUUUUUUCUGUAAGACAUUUUCCAUCUCCUUCUUCGUCCAGUCUUCUCAGUGUUGUCUAAAUGGCGUCUUUGAGCUUCUUUUGCCCUUCUGAUACGGUUCAGUGAUUGAGCAUUUUCAGAGAAGAGAGGGGUUGAAAGAGAUGAUAAAAGGAGUAAUUUUUUAUUCAGGAUCAGCUGACCCUUUAAAUCCUAAGGUUCUUAUUUAUGAUGUUCUUAAUGUUCUUAGACUUAUUUAUGAUGUUCUUAAUGUUCUUAGACGAAUGAUUACAGUUCACAGUAAGCUUUUAAGUUUUGAAAUGAAUGUUUUAUAUCAAAUUAUAAACAGAGUUCUUUAGCUUAUGCUGCUCAUGGAACUAGGUUUGGAGACUUGCAUACGGCAUAAACUACUAGCAACUUCAGGUGAAAUUGUAAUUGUCUUCUCUACAAAGCUGUCAUUAAUAUUGUUGCUGUGACCACCUCAUGUUUAAUGUUUUACAUUAUAAUAUGCAUAAAGCAAAUUGAAUUUGUUCAAAACUCCAUAAAAAGUGGAUACUUAGACUAUUAUUUUCUUGUCAUCUUUAAUGUUUUUGAGCAAGGUUCAAAAUUUCAAUAAAAUGCAGCCCAAUUUUAGAUUUUUACUUUCCUGUGGUAUCUAUAUUUUGAAUCUUUAUGUAUUAGCUUAUGUUUCCUAGUAAAAGCAAAUCCAAUAUCCCAUCAAAAAAUAAUACAUCUAAAAAUAACUCUGGGGAUGACUGCCUUGAUGUGGUCCUUUUAGUGGAAAUGAUAACUUGUUACUAUGUUUAGGUUAUCACUAUUUGUAUCAGUGGUACCGUUCAGUCGAAAGUGAGCAUUUUCCAGAUCCUAGUGGUUUUCGUUCUCGUAUGGAGCAAUGGACAUUUGGCCUCUCUCCAGCAUGUAUCAAGUAUCGCAUGUCCGCAUUUGAUGUUCCAGAGGUUAUGGCUGUCACCCGAAGCAAUAUUUGCAAGAAUGGAAUACAGGCGCUGUCCCGAAGGGGUGCUGUCAUAUAUUAUGCUUCAGUCUUCCUUUACUUCUGAGUUUUCUCGACCCCUGUGAUUUCUUUGGUGUUCGGAAGCUACUUGUAUAUCUGCAUUAACUGGUUUCAUCUACACUUUGACGAGGCAUUCUCUUCUCUCAGAAUUUCUAAUUACAAGUCAUUCACACGAUUCCACAUCAACGUGAUGGUGAUCUUGAAGUUUUCACUCUUGCAGUCGAUAAGGUUCCAAGGGAAUGGAUGUUGGAUUCUGAUUGGGAUAUGGAGUAGAAGCAGCCACAACAGUUGAGCCAUAGGAGACAUACCCUAGCAAAUAGAGUGCAGCAGCAAGGCAGCAGGAUUCAAUGAAUACAGUCACGGUGGUUGACCAUUUUGUUAUAAGACAAAAUGAGAAACCUGAUUUUGUAUCAAGUAAUGGAUCAGUUAGUCGCUGAUCUUUGUUGUAACAUCAUUCUAAUUUCUUAAAUAUAGGCAGCAAUGAAGGGAAUGUAUAUACGUCAAAUUUCAUAGUUGUUUAGAUGGACUAACAUCAUUCAAAUGUUAAAUGUUAAUGCAGCUAAUAGUGGUUUUUCACAGCCAUAUCAUGCUUUGUAGUUGAGGGAUUUUUAAAUGGAAGCUUAAAAUUGAGCUUUUGCUUAGAA